GCUGAGGGGCUGAGAAGGCCAUCAAGGAGAAAAAGGUUGCAGACGUGACAGAGACAAGGCUCCGAGUCUGAACAGGGGUCUGCGAGUGGGUCUAUCUGAUUCCCCAGUGGUCUGUGCCGCAGCGCUGAUCAAGUGCUGAUAGCAUCUGUGCAAGAGUCGGGUCCUGCCUGUUCCCGCGAUAGAGCUGCUAUCCCAAUUCUUGGUUCCUCAGACGGCGUCCGACACGAUGACCCUGAAUGGAGGCAGCGGAGCGGGCGGCAGCCGUAGCGCGGGCCGGGAGCGCGACCGUCGUCGAGGCAGCACCCCAUGGGGCCCGGCACCCCCACUGCACCGCAGGAGCAUGCCGGUGGACGAGCGAGACCUUCAGGCGGCGCUAACCCCGGGCUCCCUGGCAGCGACUGCAGCUGGAACUCGGACACAGGGGCAGAGGCUGGACUGGCCUGAAGGCUCCUCCGAUUCGCUCAGUUCUGGAGACAGCGGCUCAGAGGAUGGCGUUUACAAGGUGCUGCUGCUGGGGGCACCUGGUGUGGGCAAGAGCGCUCUGGCGCGCAUCUUUGGUGGUAUAGAAGACGGACCUGAAGCAGAAGCAGCAGGGCACACAUAUGACCGUUCUAUCACUGUGGAUGGAGAAGAAGCAUCACUAAUGGUCUAUGACAUUUGGGAACAGGAUGGAGGCUGCUGGCUGCCUGGCCACUGCAUGGCCAUGGGGGAUGCAUAUGUCAUUGUGUACUCAAUAACGGACAAGGGCAGCUUUGAGAAAGCCUCAGAACUCCGGGUCCAGCUGCGGCGGGCACGGCAGACAGACAAUGUGCCCAUCAUCCUAGUGGGCAACAAGAGCGAUCUGGUGCGCUCUCGUGAGGUCUCUGUGGAUG
rnacentral:lncRNA from 1 species